rnacentral:rRNA from 1 species
GACGAACGCUGCGGCGUGCUUAACACAUGCAAGUCGCACGGAAAGGCCCUGCUUUUUUGUGGUGCUCGAGUGGCGAACGGGUGAGUAACACGUGAGUAACCUGCCCUUGACUUUGGUAUAACUUCAUGAAACUGGGGCUGAUACCGGAUAGUAGCUCCUUCUGCAUGGUGGGUGUUUAGAAGUUUCGGCGGUUGGUGAUGGACUUGCGGCUUAUCAGCUUGUUGGUGGGGUAGUGGCUUACCAAGGCUUUGACGGGUAGCCGGCAUGAGAGGGUGAACGGCCACAUUGGGACUGAGAUACGGACCAGAAGCCUACGGGAGGCAGCAGUGGGGAAUAUUGCACAAUGGGCGGAAGCGUGAUGCAGCAACGCCGCGUGCGGGAUGACGGCCUUCGGGUUGUAAACCGAUUUCGACUGUGACGAAGAGUGAGUGACGGUAAUGGGUAAAGAAGCACCGGCUAACUACGUG